AUGGAGAAUGCAGGGACGGCUCCCUACAGACGAGUAUCAAGAUAUUUCCAAAAGAAUUGGAAACCCAUGAAACUGAAGAGUUGAGAAAAGCUAUGCAGACUUUUCGUCUUGAAAUACAAGGAGCCUGGAUCACUUUAAUGUCUGCUGUCUUUUCACUGUGAUUUUUGAUGAGUAAACCGAGCCUUCCCCCAGUGUUGACAAUCGUGAAUGAAAAUGACUGCAUCCCUUUGUUG
rnacentral:lncRNA from 1 species